rfam:Cavia porcellus supercont2_26 genomic scaffold, whole genome shotgun sequence.
GGGGAUUUAGCUUAGCGGCAUAAGCGCCUGCCUUGUAAGCAGGCAAUCGCCA